rnacentral:rRNA from 1 species
GUUAAGCGGGGAUGAGGUGUGGGUAGCGGAGAAAUUCCAAUCGAACUUGGAGAUAGCUGGUUCUCUCCGAAUAGCUUUAGGGCUAGCCUCGGAUAGAAUCAUGAGGUAGAGCAACUGUUUGGACUAGGGGCCCUUCUCGGGUUACCGAAUUCAGAUAAACUCCGAAUGCCAUUGAUUUAUAUCCGGGAGUCAGACUACGAGUGAUAAGAUCCGUAGUCGAGAGGGAAACAGCCCAGACCACCAGCUAAGGUCCCAAAGUUUAUGUUAAGUGGAAAAGGAUGUGGGGUUGCUUAGACAACUAGGAUGUUGGCUCAGAAGCAGCCAUCAUUUAAAGAGUGCGUAAUAGCUCACUAGUCGAGUGACCCUGCGCCGAAAAUUUACCGGGGCUAAACAUAACACCGAAGCUGUGGAUAGAACUUAGGUUCUAUGGUAGGAGAGCGUUCUAAGGGCGUCGAAGCUAGACCGUGAGGACUGGUGGAGCGCUUAGAAGUGAGAAUGCCGGUAUGAGUAGCGAAAGACGGGUGAGAAUCCCGUCCACCGAAUGAC